UCUCAGUCGGACUGUAGGCUGCAACUCGCCUACACGAAGCUGGAAUCGCUAGUAAUCGCGGAUCAGCACGCCGCGGUGAAUACGUUCCCGGGCCUUGUACACACCGCCCGUCACACCAUGAGAGUCUGUAACACCCAAAGCCGGUGGGAUAACCUUUAUAGGAGUCAGCCGUCUAAGGUAGGACAGAUGAUUAGGGUGAAGUCGUAACAAGGUACC
rnacentral:rRNA from 1 species